GGCUUGAUGGUCUAGAGGUAUGAUUCCUGCUUUGGGACAUCAUGUGACGCGGGAUGUUACAUGACCACAUGCAGGAGGCCCCGGGUUCGAUCCCCGGUCAAGCCC